AGGGGCACUAGCUGUCAAAUUCAUGGUCACCGAUUUGACUCAAAUUUUCAUAUUUUAUUUAUAACAAUGUAAAACAUUUAUCCAAACUAUCAAAAGUGUGAAAUAAUCAGUUUACAGAGCAUAGGGUCAAUAAUAUGUAGUUUCGUUUUGUGUGUAUUUUAGUCUGGACUCCAUCUAAUUAAAUAUCGAGUUGACCUUAGAUGACCAUAUAAG
rnacentral:lncRNA from 1 species